rnacentral:rRNA from 1 species
CCUACGGGAGGCAGCAGUGGGGAAUAUUGGGCAAUGGGCGCAAGCCUGACCCAGCAACGCCGCGUGAAGGAAGAAGGCUUUCGGGUUGUAAACUUCUUUUCUCAGGGACGAAGAAAGUGACGGUACCUGAGGAAUAAGCCACGGCUAACUACGUGCCAGCAGCCGCGGUAAUACGUAGGUGGCAAGCGUUAUCCGGAUUUAUUGGGUGUAAAGGGCGUGUAGGCGGGAGCGCAAGUCAGAUGUGAAAACUCAGGGCUCAACCCUGAGCCUGCAUUUGAAACUGUGUUUCUUGAGUGCAGGAGGGGCAGGCGGAAUUCCUGGUGUAGCGGUGAAAUGCGUAGAUAUCAGGAGGAACACCGGUGGCGAAGGCGGCCUGCUGGACUGCAACUGACGUUGAGGCCCGAAAGCGUGGGGAGCAAACAGGAUUAGAUACCCCUGUAGUC